UAUACCACAUAUAUAUCUACAUUUUUUUUUUAAUUGAGUAGAAAUAUUCUUAUUAAGUUUUAAUUAUUGAUAGUUCUUCUUUUGUUAAAUGAGAAUUUAGCCCCGAUUAUACGUUACGUAAAAACGAUAGGGCCAAACAUAAUUUAUAUAAUACAAUAUACAUAGUUUAUAGUCGAUGUAAAAUUGUUGUUUAGUCAUGGUGAAAAAAAAUCCUACGAUUCUGAUCAGAUUACGUGGCCAUCGAAGUCUCUAUAUCAUUUUACAACCACUUCCUCGCCUCCUCAUUGCGUAUAAAAGGGAAGAGAAUAUAAUGAAUACUAUAUUAAUGAAUGUCUGUUCGUGCAUUUCGUGGCUAGUUUUAGAAAUUGUUUACGGUAAACGACCAAAAAUUAUGCGUAAGACGGAAAAUAACGAAUUUUUAAAUUUAUGAUAGCAGUAAAGACAUUAGUAAGAAUUUUUCUGGGAACGAUACGAUUUAAUGGAACUUCAACAACAAAAAAUAUUUAGAUAAUUGAAUUAUAAAACUUUAAAAAUUCUACACACGAUAUAUUAAUUUUGAUUCAUUAAGUUUUUCUUUUUUUUUUUUUACAAGUUAAAAGCGAAAAUUUAUUGAAAACGUUUGCUAGAAACAUAUUGCUUAAGUUGUAGUAUGUUGUAGCUUUUAAAUUUUAUCGCUGCUUUGCUUGGCUUCUCCAAAUAGCUACGGCAUAACUGUAACUUGUGUUCUAUUUUCAUAUUCGUAAAUCUUUUAAGAUGGAUCAAAGCAAAGGUUUUAACGAUAAUUUAACGCUUAUAACGUCGACACUCUGUUUAAAAAUAAUUAUCGCACGCAAACAUCGGAAGAAAGCACCCUGCAAUAAUUAAAACUAAUUUAAUAGAAAAUAAAGUUAAUUUUUUUCUUUUUUUUUUAUUAAAGAACGUAUACGCUUAAAAGAAGAUAACCGUUAAAAAUUUUCCAAGCAACAAGGUCGACGUUGGCUAGGGGGCAAAGAUUAUCAUAACAAGCUGACAAGUUCCUGUCCCAUUCGACCCAAUUUUUGUGCUUCUACGAUGUUUAUAAGGCAGGUGAUAUGACGUCACGGCUGCGACGCUCCACUACCUAGAAUAACAACGUCGAUCUCCGCAAUGAAAAGUAAUUCUGUUAGUUUCCGGCGCUCGUCCGAUCCGGUAGAGUGAGGUGGUCGAAAAUUCAUUACGUCAUCGGUGGGGUGCCGAGCGGUGGGUUCUUCUCUAUUGUGUGUUGCUAUGGUUACGGAGAAGGGAGACCCGAGCCGGCGGAAGAAUAUGUUUGUAUUUACAGUAUGUUGGAGCACGGCGGCUUAAUGUUGCCUUUCAAGGCCGAUUGGGAAGCUUGUCAACGCCAGUUUAAACGUGGUACGAACUAUGGAAUGUGUUUCGUUUGAUAACGGUGUGACUCCUAUGUGACAGUUCGUCCCUUCGAUUUUUCCUACGUUCUGCCAUCUCGUUUUAACGUCCGGAACGACAGUGCUACAUUGAUCCAGUACAAGACUCAACUGUCACUAUGCCAAGAAGGAUAAAAAUACAGUGAUGUUGUGGUCAUAAAUUUUCAAGUCAAUGAUGCGCAGGAUUUUUAAUUAUCUGUCUCGAUAUACUGCAUACGGUUGUUUUCAUAUUUUGUACAAUAAUCCAAGGUGAGUGAUUUAUUUUUUUUUUUUUUUACUGUUAUUUUUCUAUUUUCGUAUACUGUCGAAGGCGAAAUUUACAAAAUUUAUUAAUUUUGUAAACGACGCAAUCGAAGAAUUCGGAAAUCUGAAGUCGAAACUCUUCUAGUAGGAUCUAACGAAACGCCCGGAGUUUGGAUCACUUCUGUAGCUUCCUAGUUGUUGCAAAUUUCUUCGUAUCGGAGGAUUUUCGAUAUUUUGCAACACUCGGUUUUCAAAUUACUUUGCGGUUUCUAUCGUCCACGACAGAUUUUUCGCGAUCGGCGAGAUUUGUAAGAUGUCGUAAGCACGCAACCGUACCUUUCACUCUUCUUGGAUUCAAAAUUGAAAGGAUCGCCUGGGCGUCGGUAAGAUUUUUUCGCAUUCCCCCGCAUUGCAAUGUAACUCGAGAUGCCUGAGUGCCAAGUUCUGUUAACUCGGGGGCGAAAAUUAGCGAUAAACACGUAGGCCUAAAAAUAUAAACAUCGUAAGUUUAGAUACCCACCGCCGCGAAGUUCCGGAGGACUUUGAUCCUGUUGCAAGAAUUCGCGAUAGCAGAUGCAAGUCGAACCAUCGUACAUUCAGGUACACAUAUCUGUAUUAAAUCGGAAAAAAAAAGUCAUUUAGAAUAAAUUUCAGCAACGAAUUAUCAGAAUUAAAAUUUAUUUUACAGCUUGAAGGGUGUCUGAAUUCGGAAAGGACGUAAAUGUAGUUAACCGUCUUAGAUAAUCGAUUUUUAUUAUUUAAAUUGAUGUUUUCUGAUGCACUUAAUAUAGUUUAUAUAUAUAUAAACUUAUAUAUAACCUCAGUAGCUAUGAAAAGCGGCAAGAUUGAGUUAUACAGGACGAUAGCACGAGUAGAUGAAUAUUGACAGUAGACGUCACCGUCCUUAUUAGCAUCUUACAGAGGAAGUGAUACGUCAAUAAAUUUAAUGCAGUUAAUAACGCAACAAAAGAGGGGGAAGCACAAUCGAGAAAAUCGAAAUUUGUAUCGAUUUUUUCGAGUUUUAUAAUUAAUCAAGAACGAUCAUAGUCAUAACAAAGCUAUUAGAGGAAUAAAAAAAAACACCCAUCUAGCUAAAGUAAUCCUAAUAAAGAUACUGAAAACGUUCCAGUUUAACCUUGAGACAGUUUUAUGACAUGAAACAUAUAGAAAUUAGAGAAGUACCUUUACCUUUCUCAUUAAUUUUCAUUUUUUUCUUCCCUUCCUCUGGGGUUGGACGUUCCGAACUAUUCAGAAAAUUAUUUGGACCAGUCUAAAUUUUGCUAAUUUGGUUAAAAACUCCCUUUUAAAACGUUCAAAUCUACUCAGUUUUUUUUAAUUAUUAUUUUUAAAUAAUUAGAUAUUGUUAAAACAGCAAUGUCGAUAUAGGCG
rnacentral:lncRNA from 1 species